UUUACUACUUGGAGACGGAAGCCUGAUACUUAUUCAUCGUAUCAGUACAACCUUUUCUGGAGAGGUGACCCGUAGGAUGAGAGGGUAGUUCAGUCUCCAUGCACAUUGAAUUAAUAAGUCCA
rnacentral:sRNA from 1 species